GAUAAACGCUGGCGGCGUGCAUGAGACAUGCAAGUCGAACGAAGGAUCGGGCUUGCUCGAUCCUUAGUGGCGGCCGGCUGAGUAACGCGUAGGUGACCUACCCCGAAGUGGGGAAUAACUGCCCGAAAGGGUGGCUAAUACCGCAUGUGGUCGCACGAUCAUUCGUGCGAGUAAAGCCGCAAGGCGCUUCGGGAGGGGCCUGCGUCCGUUUAUCUCGUUGGUGGGGUAAUGGCUUACCAAGGCGACGAUCGGUAGGUGGGCUGAGAGGACGAUCACCCAGGCUGGGACUGAGACACGGCACAGACUCCUACGGGAGGCAGCAGUCGGGAAUUUUGCACAAUGGGGGAAACCAUGAAGCAGCAACGCCGCGUGAGGGAUGAAGGCCUUCGGGUUGUAAACCUCUUUUGUCAGGGACGAUGAUGACGGUACCUGGCGAAUAAGCCACGGCUAACUACGUG
rnacentral:rRNA from 1 species